GGGGUUUGAAAGAGGACCGCUUCAGGGAAGGUGUGGGACUCGUGGGAGAAGGAAUUAUGCAGUGUGGAAGAGGACAGGAGGCAUACGAAACGCAUCAGGAGAACACAGCUCUCCGUGUUUCGACCUCAGCUUGUAUGUAUCUUCCUGUCAUUAAAAUGCAUGAGAAACAGUGUUCAGCCUUUGUCCCAAAUUCAGAAAGUAACAAUUAAUAAAAAGCAAACCACUGAAGAACCAGCUGUACCUUCCAACAAGGAUGGCCGAGAGGUUAAGGCGGUGGACUUAAGAUCCAAUGGAUGUAUGCCCGUGUUGGUUCAAACCCCACUGCUGCUUCAGUUGCAGAAGGAGGAUUCUGUGUUCAAACCUGGGAUUUCUUUGUUGUUGUGAGAACAAGUGCGGUGACAUCCAUGAAUGAGAUAAAAGGUCUGGAAAUAUAUAUUGUGAUUUCCAAAGUAAUACUCACCUCCUCACAGGAUGAUCUGUUCACCCAGGCUUUGAAGCCCAUCCUCUCCCACCACUCCAGUUUUUUGC